UGGAUCAAUGAUGAUGACUGGUGGUUUGAAUCAUAGAUGAUAAAUAAUGUGUGCCUGAAACUCUGAGGUCUGG
ensembl:snoRNA